UACGGAGGGUGCAAGCGUUAUCCGGAUUUACUGGGCGUAAAGAGCGCGUAGGCGGAAGCUUAAGUGUGGCCUGAAAGCCCCCGGCUCAACCGGGGAAGGUGGCUGCAAACUGGGCUUCUUGAGGGGGAUAGGGGAAAGUGGAAUUCCGGGUGUAGCGGUGAAAUGCGUAGAGAUCCGGAGGAACACCAGUGGCGAAGGCGGCUUUCUGGGUCCGCCCUGACGCUGAGGCGCGAAAGCGUGGGGAGCGAACGGG
rnacentral:rRNA from 1 species